rnacentral:rRNA from 1 species
CCUACGGGAGGCAGCAGUGGGGAAUAUUGGGCAAUGGACGCAAGUCGGACCCAGCAACGCAGCGUGAAGGAAGAAGGCUUUCGGGUUGUAAACUGCUUUUAAGGGGGAAGAGCAGAAGACGGUACACCUGGAAUAAGCCACGGCUAACUACGUGCCAGCAGCCGCGGUAAUACGUAGGUGGCAAGCGUUGUCCGGAGUUACAGGGGGUAAAGGGCGUGCAGCCGGGCCGACAAGGCAGAUGUGAAAUCCGCGGGCUUAACCCGCGAACUGCAUUUGAAACUCUUGGUCUUGAGUACCGGAGAGGUCAUCGGAAUUCCUUGUGUAGCGGUGAACUGCGUAGAUAUAAGGCAGCACACCAGUGGCGACGGCGGAUGACUGUACGGCAACUGACGGUGCGGCGCGAAAGCGUGGGGAGCAAACCGGCUUAGCUACCCCUGUAGUC